UUGGUAGCACAAAGGUACGACAUAUAAAAUUCAGUCAAUUGGAUGUGCUGUAUACAAAUAGCUUUAUCGCACCGUUAUUCGCCACUAAUUUAGUUGCAUCACGUUGCAUUUUGUGAAUUACCCUAGAUUUUACCCAAUUAACGCUGCUAUUCGCUUUUUGAGGAUUAUUUACAAUCCGAACCCAAUGUCGGCUGUAUAAAAUCUUGGACAGACUGAUAGUAUUCGUACCAUGAUACAAUUAUCUUGAAAUGAGUUUCAUACUGAUGAUUGUCUUCAUUCCAGAUUAUAGCCUUGAAAUAAUUUUCUUGACAACUUGUACCAUGGUACGAACCAAGGGGUUUCCAACAAGUUUUUUAGUGACAAGUAAUCAAUGAUUACUUUCGAUUUCUCUGAGUAAUCAUGGUAAUCACAAGUAAUCAUGGUAAUCAGAAGUAAUCAUGGUAAUCAGAAGUAAUUAUUAGUAAUCCGAGGUAAUCAAUGGUAAUCAGAUGUAAUCAAUCAUAAUCCAUGGUAAUCAAAAGUAAUCAAAAUAAUCACAAGUAAUCAUGGUAAUCAGAAGUAAUCAUUAGUAAUCUGAGGUAAUCAAUGGUAAUCAGAUGUAAUCAAUGAUAAUCCAUGGUAAUCAAAAGUAAUCAAGGUAAUCACAAGUAAUCAUGGUAAUCAGAAGUAAUCAUGGUAAUCAGAAGUAAUCAUUAGUAAUCCGAGGUAAUCAAUGGUAAUCAGAUAUAAUCAAUGAUAAUCCAUGGUAAUCAAAAGUAAUCAAGGUAAUCACAAGUAAUCGUGGUAAUCAGAUUAAUCACAAGUAAUCACGAGUAAUUAUUUUUAGUCUUACGAUAACCGCAGGUAAUCAUGAGUAAUCUUGAUAAUCAAAAAAUAAUCAUGGUAAUCAGAGUAAUCACAAGUAAUCACGAGCAAUCAUGAGUAAUCACGGGUAAUCAAUUGUAAUCAUAUGGUAAUCACAGAUAAUCAUGAGCAAUCAACAGCAAUCUAGGUAAUCAAAAAAUAAUCAUGGUAAUCAGAGUAAUCACAAGUAAUCACGAGUAAUCACGGGUAAUCAAUUGUAAUCAUAUGGUAAUCACAGGUAAUCAUGAGUAAUCAACAGUAACCUAGGUAAUCAAAAAAUAAUCAUAGUAAUCAUGGUAAUCAGUGAGUAAUCAGAGUAUUUUUUUCGGUAGUGACAAGCUGUCUUGUGCAUUACCACCAUCAUAACACAAAAAAGCCGCAACAUCAACAUUGUCCUUCUUCCUGCAUCAACGCUACAGCCGACCGUCUCUAUGUUGCUAUCGAACACAUUCGAGACGAACGCAUUGACACAGCUGUCAAACUCGGUACAUCGCCGCCUCACCCAUCAUCGUUUUUGGUACGGCGCGUUUUGGUACCCACUUUCUGGUCGGUUUACCCUAACUUGCUCCUGAUUUUCGGGUGUGUGGCUCGUGUGUUGCUAGUGCUUAUUUCGAAAAUUACACAUUUCAAGCGAAAUUGUUGUUUUUGAUGAUUGUUUCUCUUUCUUUAUCACUUUGCACGAUAUUAUAUGUAGCAGCGAAGCAGUGUCGAUGUUGAAGCGCAUUUUUGCCGUGUAUAAAGCAAUGAAAACAAAAACAUUGGACGCCAUGUUGAAUCGAAUGUUGGGUUCCUGAUUCUGGCCCUUCGUCAUCCCCCUCCUGAUUGAUACGGUGGCUGCCGCCGCCACGCUCUUCCUCUGCAAAUCUCUUGAGAAGCCGAACGCUUCUUAACCGCCGUUCCGAAGCAGAGCUACAGGGGAUGGCCAAAAUGUUUGGGAUAGGCAACUUUUUUUCUCUCGCAAAAAAAAUCAACAUGCUGUAACUUUUCAUAGAGUGCAUCAAAAAAUCUCAAAUUUUGACUGUUUGUCAAACUAUUAUAUGUGCAUCAUUGGUACAAAUUUGGGCUCGAUUGAUUCAUAUUUCGCGAAGUUAGAACCGUUCGGGUAAAACACUAUUUUUUAGACAACUCAUUUUUGAACUGUCAUAUCUCGGACACCAGUGAACCGAAUUGAAUGAAUUUUUUAACGUUUAUCAACAAUAUAUUGAUACUUAAUACGAUGUUAUAAAAUGUUAUAUUUUCUCACGGCGAAUUAAGUUAUACCGGGUUGAAAUUUUUACCCAUAUAGAGGAAAAUGAGUCAAAUUUACAAUACCACACAAAAAUUAUUAAAUGUGUUCUUUCAUCAAUCAAAAUAGGCUCUAAUACAUAUAUCUGAUUAGAGAUAAUUUGAGAACAGAAGUGGAAAAUCUUUGGAUAUCAACACUAAAAUUUAUUGACAUUGAUGUGAAAAAAUUACAUUUUUUCGAGAAAAGUCCAAAAAGUGUCAAUCCAUGAUAACUUUUUUCAAUGUUUAAAAAGUACCUAUCUUUUAAUAGUUUGUGAAGCAUUUACAUAUUGUUAGUGUACGUUCAAAAUUUCAUUCUAUUCGGUUCACUGGUUUCCGAGAUAUGACAGCUCAAAAAUGAGUUGUCUGAAAAAUAGUGUUUUACCCGAACGGUUCUAACUUUGCGAAAGAUUUAUCAAUCGAGCCCAAAUUUGUACCAAUGAUGCACAUAUAAUAGGUUGACAAACAGUCAAAAUUUGAGAUUUUUUGAUGCGCUCUAUAAAAAGUUAUAGCAUGUUGAAAUUUUUUGUGAGAGAAAAAAAGUUGCCUAUCCCAAACAUUUUGGCCAUCCCCUGUAUGUCACUCACUGCGGGGUGACUCUCGUCUAAAAAUGCCAGGAUGAGGGUCAAUUUGUUAAGUAGUAUUGCAUGGCGCAGCAAACACAAACAUAGCACGCCCUAUGAAUAGAAUGCAAAGCGUAGAACAAAAACUCGCUUCGGUGUUUCAUCGUGUGGUUCGGAAACAAGAGACGAUCGCUGCUGUUGGAUGUGGUUGACUCUGCAUUGAACGAGGGUUGGCUUGAAUGGCUUUUGCGUGAAUCGAUAAUUUUUUGAUGGACUGCGUUUGUCGUAUGAAGUGAUGGUUGGAGCGAGUGUCAUUCGACAUUGACCAUCCUGAAACUGCACAACCCUGGUGACAAGUAAUCAAUUUUGUGGGAAACCCCUUGGUACGAACACCAUCAGUGUGUCCCAGGCCUAACUAGUGUAAUCAGUGCUUGAUUUAAGCGAGGAGGGGGGUGGCAGGGCCCCGGGCCCCCACAAAAUAUCACUUCACGAAAAAAAUGUGAAGCAAGAAAAAAAAAGAAGUCAAAGAAACUUCUUUUGAUGUUUUUUUCUUUUUAUCUGUAUUAACGAGAUUUUUACUGCCGGUGAACGCAUAAAUGUCCCAUGCGCAAAAACAGACAAUCGAGAAAAUCGCGUCCAAAGUUCGAAAAAAGUAAAUUGUCUCAACUAUGAAGUAUAAGUGCUGAAUCGUGUUCUAACAUCACACAUCAACCAAUUUUGAAUUUGAGCACUAAUUUUUGUUUUAGAGCGAUUUUAUAGUUCCAUAGGAUUUCCAAUGAAACGUGACGCUUAUGCGUCCACUUUUAAGAAUGUUACAAAUCGGCCUUGCAUUUUUUCAACAAUUUUUGGAACAAACUGUAAUUGUAAUUGUAAUUGCUCAGUCCACACCCAGGCCGACAACUGUCAGCCCAUCUGCUUGUAGGCAGAUGUGGACCUACUAAGCCUCCCCCGUUAACAUGUCCUACACCGAAUUAGCACACCGGGAUCUUCCACAGGCAGGCGCUGGCGUUACCAGUCCCAACAAGUGUCAGAUACAUUAAAUAGAUGGGGUAGAGGAUAUAAGAAGAUGUGGGAAUAGGAUGGGAAGAGGUAGAAAAUGAAGAGAUAGUAGAGAGGUUUCGAUUUUGUUGCUGAAACGAGAAAAAGAAAGAACGAUAAAGAACAUUAGCGAUAUGUUCAUAGAUUAUGAUUUGGUCGUUUAUUUCUCAUCUAUUUUGUUUCCAUAUCGUUGCAUCGGUGACCAUUUUCAUCGCCUUUCCAGUUUUUGUUAGGGCCAUCUCGCGUUUUUUCGUCAUGUCCUCUUUGCCGGUUGGCGACGUUCGGGAUGUAAGUAGAAAAGCAUGCAUUUAAUAUGAUUAGUACGACAGUAAUUGUGAUUGCUCAGUACUUCCAGCCCAUUUGUCCGCAGUACAUAUCAGGCAUCCCGUUUUAACAAGUGCUACACAGAAUUAGAAACCCGGAUCUCCCACAGACAGUCCUAACUAGUGUCAGAUAAGUUCAAUUGAGGAUAGGAAGCGGCGAAAUGAGACAGUAGAGAAGGUUUGGUACAUUGGUAGCUGUGUUCAUGUGAUGUUUGUCUGACAUUGAAAAACUAUUUUCCGUAGGUGUUUAACUCUCUACCCAAAUUUAAUACCGGAAAAAUAUCUGAUCAGAUGUAUAGUUUGGCAAUUUUGUGUCCAUACAUCUUUUAUCAAGAAGGAAUAAUGUUGUUUACUGUUAUAACAUAAUUCAGUUGAAGGGCAGCAAAUGCAUUGUAAUCCAGAAUAAACCUACAGAAGAUGUCCCAAUAAAAAGUUAACACUAGUUCAACUAACUACACAAACUAAAAAGUGUUAUUAUAUUUUACCACUGAUUUCAUCCUAAUCUUGACCCUAACAUAGUUAUGCGCUUAUUGGACAAUGAGCAAAAAUAGUGUUGUUUCGACAAUAGUCACAUACUAUGCCCUACGACAUUGACGAUUCUAUUGUCUAUGGCUCACCUAUUUAGCGCCACCCAGCAGGGACUUGGUCUGGUACCCAAUUCAGUAUAUCCGCUCCACGUAAUGUACCGUACCUCUUUCGAUUUGUGAUAUAUUACGCGGAACAUUACUCUCUUCAUUCGGAUAGCGGCUAUGUAACCCAUUGGAUUAAAAACCUCCAUCAAACAUGAAGCGAUUAAUCGGAGACUGAAGACUCUAUACCAAAUUUGGCUAAGAGACAGGUAAUCAGUGAAGUCAGUUUUUCUCGUUUGUCAGAGACGAUUGAUACGUAUUAAGACAAACUUUCCACUGCAUCUGCCAGUAAUAAUCGGUGAUCGAUCAACAUUUCGAGUACCUACCCCAAUUUACACAAGAAUGCCAAGGAUCACCGCUCAUGCUUUACAAUACAGUUGGAAAAACUAGAGCAACACCUGGCCACAAUGAUGCAUAAAGCACUAAAGCGGACCGGAAGUGUCGGUGAGCCAGCCCCACCAAUUUUUGGAACAAACUACCUAUUUUUAUUUCCCCAUAUGAUAGUACCCCAUGAUACAUGGUCAUGGGCUCCAAAAUCUCAAUAUUGCCAAAAAUGCACAUGGGACAAUUAUGCUUCCACCGGCAGUUUAGCCCUAGGCUAGCUCAUCUCGGGACCCACGCUUUACUUCCCUUCCGAAGGAAGAACUCACAUUUUGCGAGUUUGUCGGAAGUGGGAUUCGAUCCCAGGUCCUCGGCGUGAUAGUCAAGUGUUCUAACCAUCGGACCUGGUGCUCCACCUUCUCUUGAUUUGAUUUUUAUCACAUAUUCACAUUCUAUAGAGUUCUUGGAAGAAAAUUUAAGAAGAAAUUUGUGGAGCAGUUUACCAAAAAAAAAAAAUUAUCCAGAAUUUUUCGCUGAAGAUUUUUAAGAAAUUUAUUAAAAACAUCCAUUGGAACUUAAGUCAGAAAUUCUUUUGGGAGCUUAUCAUAGAUUCUCUCCAAUUUUUUUUUUCUAUUAGAAUUUCCUUUUUGAUUUUAGAGUUUUGGUCAUAUCUCCUAGUAGUCGCGCUAGAACAAGUUUUUGUUAAGUGUUCAUUCUUCAUGGUGAUCGAUCAGCAACUUCUCCAGAAAUUGCAGCAGGCAUCAACUAGAAAAUGUCUUUGGAUUUCGCAAAAGCACUGAUUGUACUGCAAAUGUUACUGAAAAAAAAUGCAGCUAUAAAUUGUUCUUGCAGUUUCACUAUGAACUCUGGCAUGAAUUUCUACUAAAUAUGGGAUUUAAUGCUGUGCAUACAUUCGUGGAAAGCAUUUUUUACUUUAUAAAACUUUAAUUAUCAUUGUUUUUACGCCGGGAUUUCCAAUCUGUUAUGAAUAAAUUUAGUGGAUAUCAACAUUUUUCCUAGCUCUGCUCUUUGUUUCAGAUUUAAACCAACAUUGAUACCUUUUUACCCUUCUUACACCCAUAAGAAGGGUAUAAAUACCGCUCGAAAAACCGACUUUCGAUCCGAGGCCCGCAGGGCCGAGUCUCAUAUACCAAUCAACUCAGCUCGAUGAACUGAGCAAAUGUCUGUGUGUGUAUGUAUGUGUGUGUGCGUAUGUUACAAAAAAAAGUCACGCACGUUUCUCAGCCGUCUGAUAUCCGAUUUGGAUUCUCUUAGUUGCAAAUGAAAGCUGGUUACUGAGAUAUCUUUCGAAGAGUACUUAGGAGUUAUACAACUAAACUUUUUGUGGUUUUACUUACAAAGUGUAUCAUACUAAAUAUCUCAAACGUCUGUCAACCAAUUUCGGUUCUCCUGGCACCAAAUGAAAGUUAUAAUAUCCUAGUAGAACCCUAUACAAUUUUAUUAGGAUUGGACUUUUGGUUAUCGAGAUAUCUCUCUAAGAGUACUUAAGAGUAAUACAGGUUAACCUUUGAGAGAUUUUUGACCAAGUGUAUCAUAAUAAAUAUCUCAGCCAUCUGUUAACCGAUUUUGGUUCUCUUAGCACCAAAUGAAAGCCACAGUAUCCUUGUAAAAGGCCCUGAAAUUUUAUUUCGAUUGGACAUUUGUUUACUGAGAUAUCUUUCGAAGAGUAUUUCAAUAAAUUCUUUUUUUA